CAGGCUUAACACAUGCAAGUCGAGGGGUAACAUUGUGCUUGCACAGAUGACGACCGGCGCACGGGUGCGUAACGCGUAUAGAACCUACCUUUUACAGAGGGAUAGCCUUUAGAAAUGAAGAUUAAUACCUCAUAGUAUUGCGAUUUGGCAUCAGAUUGUAAUUAAAGAUUUAUCGGUAAAAGAUGGCUAUGCGUCCUAUUAGUUAGUUGGUAAGGUAACGGCUUACCAAGACAUCGAUAGGUAGGGGUCCUGAGAGGGAGAUCCCCCACACUGGUACUGAGACACGGACCAGACUCCUACGGGAGGCAGCAGUGAGGAAUAUUGGACAAUGGAGGAGACUCUGAUCCAGCCAUGCCGCGUGCAGGAAGACUGCCCUAUGGGUUGUAAACUGCUUUUAUACAGGAAGAAACACUAGUACGUGUACUAGCUUGACGGUACUGUAAGAAUAAGGACCGGCUAACUCCGUGCCAGCAGCCGCGGUAAUACGGAGGGUCCGAGCGUUAUCCGGAAUCAUUGGGUUUAAAGGGUCCGCAGGCGGUCGAUUAAGUCAGAGGUGAAAUCCCAUAGCUUAACUAUGGAACUGCCUUUGAUACUGGUUGACUUGAGUCAUAUGGAAGUAGAUAGAAUGUGUAGUGUAGCGGUGAAAUGCAUAGAUAUUACACAGAAUACCGAUUGCGAAGGCAGUCUACUACGUAUGUACUGACGCUCAUGGACGAAAGCGUGGGGAGCGAACAGGAUUAGAUACCCUGGUAGUCCACGCCGUAAACGAUGGACACUAGUUGUUGGGAUUUAUCUCAGUGACUAAGCGAAAGUGAUAA
rnacentral:rRNA from 1 species